UACGUAGGGUGCGAGCGUUAAUCGGAAUUACUGGGCGUAAAGCGUGCGCAGGCGGUUCGUUGUGUCGGUGGUGAAAGCCCCGGGCUUAACCUGGGAAUGGCCAUGGAAACUGGCGAACUGGAGUGUGGCAGAGGGGGGGUGGAAUUCCGCGUGUAGCAGUGAAAUGCGUAGAGAUGCGGAGGAACACCGAUGGCGAAGGCAGCCCCCUGGGCUAGCACUGACGCUCAGGCACGAAAGCGUGGGGAGCAAACAGG
rnacentral:rRNA from 1 species